rnacentral:rRNA from 1 species
AGCGAACGCUGGCGGCAGGCUUAACACAUGCAAGUCGAGCGGGCAUAGCAAUAUGUCAGCGGCAGACGGGUGAGUAACGCGUGGGAACGUACCUUUUGGUUCGGAACAACUGAGGGAAACUUCAGCUAAUACCGGAUAAGCCCUUACGGGGAAAGAUUUAUCGCCGAAAGAUCGGCCCGCGUCUGAUUAGCUAGUUGGUGAGGUAAUGGCUCACCAAGGCGACGAUCAGUAGCUGGUCUGAGAGGAUGAUCAGCCACAUUGGGACUGAGACACGGCCCAAACUCCUACGGGAGGCAGCAGUGGGGAAUAUUGGACAAUGGGCGCAAGCCUGAUCCAGCCAUGCCGCGUGAGUGAUGAAGGCCCUAGGGUUGUAAAGCUCUUUUGUGCGGGAAGAUAAUGACGGAACCGCAAGAAUAAGCCCCGGCUAACUUCGUG